CGCACGGGUGAGUAACACGUAUCCAACCUGCCGUCUACUCUUGGACAGCCUUCUGAAAGGAAGAUUAAUACAAGAUGGCAUCAUGAGUUCACAUGUUCACAUGAUUAAAGGUAUUCCGGUAGACGAUGGGGAUGCGUUCCAUUAGAUAGUAGGCGGGGUAACGGCCCACCUAGUCUUCGAUGGAUAGGGGUUCUGAGAGGAAGGUCCCCCACAUUGGAACCGAGACACGGUCCAA
rnacentral:rRNA from 1 species